rnacentral:rRNA from 1 species
GACGAACGCUGGCGGCGUGCCUAAUACAUGCAAGUAGAACGCUGAAGGAGGAGCUUGCUCUUCUGGAUGAGUUGCGAACGGGUGAGUAACGCGUAGGUAACCUGCCUGGUAGCGGGGGAUAACUAUUGGAAACGAUAGCUAAUACCGCAUAAGAGUAGAUGUUGCAUGACAUUUGCUUAAAAGGUGCAAUUGCAUCACUACCAGAUGGACCUGCGUUGUAUUAGCUAGUUGGUGGGGUAACGGCUCACCAAGGCGACGAUACAUAGCCGACCUGAGAGGGGGAGCGGCCACACUGGGACUGAGACACGGCCCAGACUCCUACGGGAGGCAGCAGUAGGGAAUCUUCGGCAAUGGACGGAAGUCUGACCGAGCAACGCCGCGUGAGUGAAGAAGGGUUUCGGAUCGUAAAGCUCUGUUGUAAGAGAAGAACGAGUGUGAGAGUGGAAAGUUCACACUGUGACGGUAUCUUACCAGAAAGGGACGGCUAACUACGUG